GAUCGUACAACUCCGUGAAUAUACUAAAACCCCAGAGUUGUAUACCCUAGGAAAUUUUUUUUUUUUUGGAGACAAGGUCUUGCUCUGUUCCCCAGGCUUGAGUGCAGUGGCACAAUCUUGGUUCACAACAACCUCCCCCUCCUGGGUUCAAGUGAUUCGUGUGCCUCUCCAUUAGCUGGGACUACAGGCGCAUGCCACCACAUCCCAUUAACUUCAGAAUUUUUUUUUUUUUUUUCAGAUGGAGUCUCACUCUGUCACCCAGGAUGGAGUACAGUGGCGUGAUCUCGGCUCACUGCAAGCUCCGCCUCCUGGGUUCAUGCCAUUCUCCUGCCUUAGCCUCCCGAGUAGCUGGGACUACAGGCGCCUGCCACCACGCCCGGCUAAUUUUUGUAUUUUUAGUAGAGACAGGGUUUCACCGCAUUAGCCAGGAUGGUCUCGAUCUCCUGACCUCGUGAUCCGCCCGCCUCAGCCUCCCAAAGUGCUGGGAUUACAGGCGUGAGUCACUGUGCCCAGCCAAGUUUAGUAUUUUUUGUAGAGACAGAGUUUCACCAUGUUGGCCAGGCUGGUCUUGCACUCAUGGCCUCAAGUGAUCCACCUGCCUCGGCCUCCGAAAGUGCUGGGAUUACAGGCGUAAGCCACUGUGCCUGGCCUUAAAUGGGUAAAUUUCAUAUGGUAUAUGAAUUAUAUUUCACUAAAACUUUAAGAAAACAUUAUACAGUACUGUUCAAAUUUUAAGUGGUCCAAUUUAAAUGCACUAUUGUAUACAAUUCUAUGUAAUGUCCUUACCAUGGUAUAUGUUAACUAUAAAUAUCUAUGCCCCUACCCUUAGUAUCAAAGCAUAUAUUAUAUGCCAGUGAGCCAAGCCCCACAUGUCUGUGAAAUGUGGUCUUCUAGCCAUAGAAGUAGCUUGUGCUCCUAGGGUAUUCCUUGAGGCUCUGUAUGAAGAAUGUCCAUUUGUUUGAGUCCCUAACCUACAGAAUAUUCCUGACCAUGGAAAUGUGAUAGAUAGGAGUAAGCACAUGGACCAAAAGGCCUGGAGGCUCAUCAUUUAAGGUACAAGCCAAUUAUGUAGUCUUUGAAAGAAUGCUUUGAAAUUCAGCUUGCUUGAUUCAAUUCCCAAUAUUUUCAUUUGUAUUAAAAGAUUUGGCCCUUACAGGUUAAAAACAAUGUCAGUGUAACCAAGUGACAUUCAAAUUUUGGCUCCCAACAUGUGAUAUGACAUCACUUCAUGUGAAAAUAGCGAAGCUCCAAACAUUUUCUUUCAGUCACCUUAUUAAGCUCGCUGAGCCCUGACAGCCUAAUGAAAGGCUAAGGGGGAAGAAAAUGUCCCAACUUCUACACUGUUGAAGAUGGGCUAAUGAGAGGUUAGCUUGCAAGAAUCAUUCUUUCUUGGCAUCCUGCUUCUGACUGCUUGGCUUUCAGCUUAUACCCAGCAUGAAAAUUUAAUUUCCUCGCAGUUGAAGGUAGUUUAAAGCUUAUUACUCACAUGCUAAAAUGUUGAUGUAUCUGUUUUUGUGCUUGUUUUCUGGAUGAUUGGAAUGCUCUGCAGUGAUGUUCAUAUCAGCAGUACAGCGCUGGACUUCCUAGUGAAGAAAACAGCAAGAUUAUAGACACAGUUUAGAAACAAAGGAACACCAUAUACAUUUAAAGGCAUAAAGUAUUUACUCACUCCCUGGCCACAGCCACCGUUACCUUCUCAAUCCCAACUUCGGAUAUAAUUAUUGAUAUAUUUAUAACGAGUUUAUGAAGAAUGUGAAAAAGGUAUAAAGAUUUCAUUAUUUACUAUUUCAUCAAUCAUCUACUUUUUUCUAGUUUUUGACCUAGUCCCUGAGAUGUAAAACAAUAUCUCUUUUUGAAUACAUCAUAGUCUAUGGGUGAGAAAAAUAUUCAAAAAGAUAGUCAAACAUGAUGAAUACAAAAGAGGCCUGAGAAAGCUCUGAUGGGAGCACAGAACAGAGGAAGGCUUUAGACAGGUGAAAAAAUUUACCUAAGUCUUAAAGGAAGAAAGGGAAUUUCUAAGAAGUAUAAUCUCUACCAUGAUUUGCAAUAUGCUUACAGGCCUUAUAGCCUCAUUUUAUAAUUGUGAGGGUGCAUUGACUCUAAAGACUCAGUGCUGAAAUAACCCUAAUAACAGCCCAACUAAUGGUCAUAUCUCAUAUAUACAGUCUUGACAAAUUAUUUGUGAACUCUAGUAUUUUAAAAGUUAUCCUUCUUUGGAAAAAUAGCAGUAGCAGAAAUAACACUCUUAUCCUACCUUGGCCGUGGAUUUAAACGUCAUCCAUUAGCCUAAUACAACGUUGCUGAAAAGCCAAAUUUUUCUACACUAUAUGCUUCAAACCCAAGAAAGUACUGGAGCUGACUAAUAAGGGAAGUCAUUAGCAGUACACAGCUGCUACAAAGAGCCUGAACAAAGUAACACAAAAUUAUCAGGAGAAAUGUUUUACACAGAACAGAUGUAGCAGAGUUUAGAAGCAUGCAGACUUUUUUUUUCCACAAAGGAGUUGCCUAGUAAUUAUGCAUGUUUUCCAUAGUAUUUACAUUAAACAUAAUGAAAACAAUGAACUGGUUGUCUUUUAUAUUCACAAAGUACUUCCCCAGGGAGAAGUACACUUCUUCUCUAGAAGGAGGAAGUUACUGUACUCAAAGAAUUUAAGGUAUAAAAGCAAAGAAUUUCUGUGUGUUCAAAGAAACAGUAUUCAAUGACUCUCCAAUUGUUGGACACUGUAAAUUGAAGUUUCCAUAAUUAUAGUCCUUCCCAGCUGUCCAUUUAAAAAAAAAAAAAAAAGCCCCACAGGCAUUAAUUCAAUCCACCUUUCUGGGAAAGUGUGUUUAAUGACAGUUCUUACCCUUUCCUUACUCUUACUAAACUCCAAUAUAUUCUGUUCUAACAUAGUUUAUAACCUAUGGUUUGGAAAACACUGGUUUAAGGAGCUUUAAGGCUGCCCUUUGGCUCUUCUCUAAAAUGAGAUAAUAAAGUGUGAUCACAAAUCAGUCUACGUAAGAACAUGAGCAAUGCUAGCCAAACUUAGCACGUUGGGACCUGCCUUUUGAAACUGCCUUAUAAGCUCUGAGCCAUGCUCUUUUGAAGAGUUUCAAGGGCAGACAACUUUUGAAAAUGGAUUUGAAACAAGUUAGUCUUUUGUUUUCGGGUUUUGAAGGUCACACCUUUGGCAUGUACUUCUUUAGGGUUGAGUUGUUCAGGUAUCUUAUGCUGAGAGAUUUUGGCUUUUAGUACCUUAGUCUGAGAUUUACUUUGUUUAUUGAUUUUUUUUUCCUGUUGUAUAGAUCUGACCACCCUAGCUAUGGACUGAAGUUGGAGCCUCUUUUCUAAUAUAAUGCAAUUGACCAAGACUGCUUGGGAGCAGCUGUCAGUAUUGUUUAAAGCUGUCAUUCAAUAUGGCCAAACUCUUUGUUAUCUAAAACCCCUUGUCUGAUCUGUUGCCUCUGUUUCACUUUUCCAAUUAGAUGAAUGACAGAAACAAAAAAUCGUAAUAAAUAUUGUCA
rnacentral:lncRNA from 1 species